AUGCAAGUCGAACGGAAAGGCCCUUUCGGGGGUGCUCGAGUGGCGAACGGGUGAGUAACACGUGGGUGAUCUGCCCUGCACUUUGGGAUAAGCCUGGGAAACUGGGUCUAAUACCGAAUACUUCCUACUGGUUGCAUGGCUGGUAGGGGAAAGCUUUUGCGGUGUGGGAUGAGCCCGCGGCCUAUCAGCUUGUUGGUGGGGUGAUGGCCUACCAAGGCGACGACGGGUAGCCGGCCUGAGAGGGUGUCCGGCCACACUGGGACUGAGAUACGGCCCAGACUCCUACGGGAGGCAGCAGUGGGGAAUAUUGCACAAUGGGCGCAAGCCUGAUGCAGCGACGCCGCGUGGGGGAUGACGGCCUUCGGGUUGUAAACCUCUUUCAGUACCGACGAAGCGUAAGUGACGGUAGGUACAGAAGAAGCACCGGCCAACUACGUGCCAGCAGCCGCGGUAAUACGUAGGGUGCGAGCGUUGUCCGGAAUUACUGGGCGUAAAGAGCUCGUAGGUGGUUUGUCGCGUUGUCCGUGAAAACUCACAGCUUAACUGUGGGCGUGCGGGCGAUACGGGCAGACUGGAGUACUGCA
rnacentral:rRNA from 1 species